rnacentral:rRNA from 1 species
GCGAGGUGGAGCAAAUCCCUAAAAGCCAUCCCAGUUCGGAUUGCAGGCUGCAACCCGCCUGUAUGAAGUUGGAAUCGCUAGUAAUCGCGGAUCAGCAUGCCGCGGUGAAUACGUUCCCGGGCCUUGUACACACCGCCCGUCACACCAUGAGAGUCGGGAACACCCGAAGUCCGUAGCCUAACCGCAAGGGGGGCGCGGCCGAAGGUGGGUUCGAUAAUUGGGGUGAAGUCGUAACAAGGUAGC